GGUGAACGCUGGCGGCGUGCUUAAGACAUGCAAGUCGAACGGCAGUCUUCGGACUGUAGUGGCGCACGGGUGAGUAACGCGUAACUGACCUACCCCAAAGUCGCGGAUAACGAUUCGAAAGAAUCGCUAAUACGUGAUGUGCUGUCAGAUUGUGUUCUGCCAGUAAAGAUUGAUUGCUUUGGGAUGGGGUUGCGUUCCAUCAGCUAGUUGGUGGGGUAAAGGCCCAACAAGGCGACGACGGAUAGCCGGCCUGAGAGGGUGGCCGGCCACAGGGGCAAUGGGACCCGGGUCCCUCACCUACGGGAGGCAGCAGUUAGGAAUUUUCCACAAUGGGCGAAAGCCUGAUGGAGCGACGCCGCGUGAGGGAUGAAGGUCUUCGGAUCGUAAACCUCUGAAUCAGGGACGAAAGACACUUCGGUGGGAUGACGGUACCUGAGUAAUAGCACCGGCUAACUCCGUGCCAGCCGCCGCGGUAACAC
rnacentral:rRNA from 1 species